CGCACCUUGCACCCUUUGGUAUUCCGAAGGGUAUGCCUGUUUGAGUGUCAUUAAAUUCUCAACCCAUUAAAUUUUUUUAAUGGAUUGGACUUGAGGGUUAUUUGUCGGCUCUGUUCGACUCCCUUUAAAUGCAUAAGUGGCUCGACUCCCAUUUAAACUGGUGUGAUAGUUGUAUCUACAUCAUAACAAUGGCAAAUGUAGCUGCUAUCUAAUCGUCGAAAGACAAUUUGAACCAUUUGACCUCAAAUCAGGUAGGACUACCCGCUGAACUUAA
rnacentral:misc_RNA from 1 species